UGGGUAACCUGCCCAAGAGAUCGGGAUAACACCUGGAAACAGAUGCUAAUACCGGAUAACAACAGAUGAUGCCUAUCAACUGUUUAAAAGAUGGUUCUGCUAUCACUCUUGGAUGGACCUGCGGUGCAUUAGCUAGUUGGUAGGGUAACGGCCUACCAAGGCGAUGAUACAUAGCCGAGUUGAGAGACUGAUCGGCCACAUUGGGACUGAGACACGGCCCAAACUCCUACGGGAGGCAGCAGCA
rnacentral:rRNA from 1 species